rnacentral:rRNA from 1 species
ACCUACAGCCAUACCACCUUGAACAUGCCUGAUAUCUCCUCUGAUCUUGGAAGCUCAGCAGGGUUGGGUCUACUCAGUACUUGGAUGGGAGAAAUUUAAGUUUCAGUCUCUU